AUUGAACGCUGGCGGCAGGCCUAGCACAUGCAAGUCGAGCGGAUGAAGGGAGCUUGCUCCUGGAUUCAGCGGCGGACGGGUGAGUAAUGCCUAGGAAUCUGCCUGGUAGUGGGGGAUAACGUCCGGAAACGGGCGCUAAUACCGCAUACGUCCUGAGGGAGAAAGUGGGGGAUCUUCGGACCUCACGCUAUCAGAUGAGCCUAGGUCGGAUUAGCUAGUUGGUGGGGUAAAGGCCUACCAAGGCGACGAUCCGUAACUGGUCUGAGAGGAUGAUCAGUCACACUGGAACUGAGACAGGGUCCAGAGUACUACGGGAGGGAGCAGUGGGGAAUAGUGGGCAAUGGGCGAAAGCAUGAUCCAGCGAUGCGGCGUGUGUGAAGAAGGUCUUCGGAUUGUAAAGCACGUUAAGUUGGGAGGAAGGGCAGUAAGUUAAGACCUUGCGGUUUUGACGUUACCAACAGAAUAAGCACCGGCUAACUUCGUG
rnacentral:rRNA from 1 species